GGAUAGCUCAGCUGGUUAGAAAGUGUGGUGCUGAUAACACCAAGGUCGCAGGUUCGAUCCCCAUAAGCGACA
rnacentral:tRNA from 1 species